AAAGCUGUCACUGUAGUGAAAGGAAGUGUAAUUUGCCUUUCAGGUGGGCAAGAAAACUCGUGUUGUGUUCCCAAGUUGCCUCUUAAGCUGUUUAUUUGCCAUCAGAUUGCAGAGUCCUCGAGAAGUCACCGAAUUCAGAUGAUUUCCUAUCAAAGCAUCCACUGGUUUGCCCUGUGAUGGAGCUGCUGUUUCUCUGUGUCUGCUGCAUUCACCUCACUUUUAAAUAGUGCCUCUGUUCUGCCAAGCAACAAAAGACUGUUUUGAAAAGAUUAAUUUUAUUCAGCCAAAUAUACAAAGUGUCUUGAAACUUUUUGAAAGAAGGGUACCUAUUCUACAGUGAGCUGGAUGGUUUGUUGUAAGAACCAUUGCUGAUAGUCUUGAAUUUGGUACAUUGGAUGAUGUUUUGGAAGUUUUGGAAGAAAACUGUAUUUUGUGCUCUAUUUUGAAAGGUGAAUUAUGUAUUGUACUUAUUUUUCAACACCUGGAUGGACCCAGUUAAAUUGGUAAAACAUAACCACAACUGUUUACAGUGAAAGUUCCAAGAAAAGCUGCAGCAAUUGUUUUUGCAUCUUCAUGUGCUUUUUGCUUUCUUAGAGCAAGUAAAUGAUGCACUGUUGAGUUAAUACUUGAAUGGUUGGAAGUGCUUUAUUGGUAUUUUUCAGAGUAUUUUCAAAGAGUACUUUAUAGAGACCCCCCAUUUGGGAGCUCAGCAUCCCUGAUUCUUCCAUUUGAAAUGACAGCCUACUUCAGGCAAGCUCUUAAACAGGAUUUGUAGUCUUUAAGUAAAUAAAUAAACUGAGAAUUGUUCCAGAGAUUAGGUUGAGAAGCUGACAUCUGAGUGCAGAAGCACUGAAGCUUUUGUUUCUUUCAUCAGCUUCUGUGAGCCCCGAUCUUUCACACAGCAACAAAACAAAAAUCCAAGAGCCACUUAACACAGCUCAUUAGUCAGAAUCAUGUUUUCAGAGAUCAAUGUGCUUAGUGAAUGAAAGACCAAAUGGAACACACAAUUUCUAUUGAUACUUUGAACUACAUUCAGCAAUAAUUCUAUUUUACAGAUAAGCUUUGUUUACUUAGUGAAAGUCUGAUCUUGUUCAUCCUUCUGUUUCUCUUUGCUAAUUGCCCACUAGUGGUGUGAGAUGAGAGUGCCCAUUGACUGCUCUGGGUUUUGUUCCUUUUGUUUGAGAGAGUUUAUGUUGCCAAUUUGAUCUUGAAGUGGAGAAACACUGGUGCAAUAAUACUUAUGAUUUCACUGACAGAGAAAGGGGAAAGGGUGAAAUGGUAAAUGUGUUUUUUUUUCUUGUUUUCUAAAGUGAGCUGAGUGGUGAGAGGGGAUGCCUUGGGUGAAAUAAACUUUAUCUCUAAGGACUUGGAAG